AAAGUGCUGACUCACCACACUGGUGUGGAUUUGAAGUCACGAGUUCGUUGUCAGCAUAUAACGCACCUGGCCAAAGGCUGGGGCUGCAGUGUUUUGUUGGGACCUCCAGGAAAACUGUGGACAGAAGGGAAGACCACCUAGGUGGGGGUGAAGAACGGAAUUAAGAAAGCAUGUGUGAUCUCGCAGAAGUCAGGGAAGGAGAAAAAAAAAUAAGCAAAGAGGAAGCAGGCUCACAGAUGGAGAGGAAUUGUGUCUCACGAUUCUCAGGAAUUGUGUCCAGACGUACAGGAUGUUUUCAUCACUCCGAAAAGAAACCCCGCACCUAUUAUCAGUCACUCUCCAGCCCCUGCCCUCAGCCCUAGCCUUUUAUAACCACGCUGGAAAACCGUCUGGCAGUGUCUGCUGAAGCUACUCACACCCAUACUUUAUGACGCAGCAACUGAACGCCCGGGUUGUAGAGAACUACAUUUCCCAGGCUCCCUCAUGCUGGAACCUACCUUGUGACUGCGAGUAAGUUGGAAAUUUACACGCCGAGGGCAGCUUUUAACUAAUGACUGACCGAGGUAUCAAUAUCCCAGCUCCCCUGUCCCUGAUGUGACCUCCUGUAGUACUGACCCAAAGUUACCCCCCUGGCACUUUGGUUGGUCUCACACCCUAGCCUGGCCCUCUUCCUAUUCCCAUUUCCUCACCCCCUGCCAGUAUCCACCCCAUCCCUGACCAUUCACAGGUAUUCUCAUCACAGGGGAAGACAGAGACAUGGCUCUGAUUCCUUUUUUUCUAACUUCCCCCAGUCUGAAUCCAUUUGGCACCUGGGCCCAUACUGUCAUUUGGGCCAUGUCUAAGAGCUUUAGGAUAAGUUCCUGAAGUUGAUCUUAGACUCCUUGUCUCCCCUGAGAUGCCCAGCAGGCCUAGGACACCCCUAGAAGCACCCCUUGUCAGAAGUGGAAGGCUGUGGGGGUCACUGAGACCAGAGGAGGAAAACAAGCCCCAGAAAAGCUAAGGGGGCAUGUUGACUAAAUGACACUCUCUUUUUCUUUUGACAGAGAUGUGUAGGGAGACAUUGUAUCCUCACGAUAGUCACUUCUUUGUUUAUUUGAGUUGUUGUUUUUGUCGUUAUUAUUACUCUUGCUUCUUGGUAUCCUGAGGGGCCCCAGGCCUUUGGGCACAUGCGGUUGGGAACUUUCCUGAAGCCAUUUCAGGCUGGGCAGGGAGGUGAGUGUAGGCAGCAAAGUAAAUGGAGAAUCACAGCAGGGUUUGAGGCAUGCGCGUGGAGUCCAGUGGGGGCCUGAGCAUUUAGCCCAGCCUUACUGGGGAAGGGGGCAGAGAGCGCUUCCAUGAUGAAGUGAAACCUGAGCUGAAUGUUGAAGUUAAACAGGGGUUUUCAAGGUAAAAAGAGGUAGUUCCCCCUCCCCCCAAUUCAAUAUACAACCAACACCGGAUAUAAAGAUGAUGCUUUUUUAUUUGGAAAGAGUUUUGCAUAGGGGUAUAAGAACAGAGUUUGGGGUCAAAUGGGAUUUAAAUCCUGGCACCAUCAUUUCCUCUGUGACCUUGAGCAAGUUCCUAACACUCUCUGAACCUCAAUAUCUUCAUCUGUGAAUUGGGAUAAUAAAUCCCACCUCACUGGCUGGUCAUCCAGUUCAAAGGAGAUGAACUGACUUGUAUUAAGCACUUGAAAAGUGAUAGCUAUGACGUUCCCCUAGUGAGCUUUGAACUUGUGUCAUCAUCAAGUGAAUGUUGACAGUUCUCUUACUGUGUUCAAGUGUUGAGUGAACUUAUCUUGUCCCAGGCACCCUCAUUUGAGAGGACAGAAGAUAUUAUUCCCUGGACUACAGACUCAGAGGGAAGAGGGGACCUGCCCGCUCUCACCUUGAGCUGGGUUCCCCAAGAAGCAGGAGCCAAGCAAGCAUGAGAGAGAGUUCAAGUACCUUACUUGGGAGGUGAUCCCAGGAAACACUGGCUAGGGAGCAGGAAGUGAGACAGAGAAGGGAAGUCAGCCCACUGCAGGAGGUGUUUUCAGUCUGUUACCGUGGAGGGCAGUGGGGCUCAGCUCUACAGGAAGCCCUGGGAGGCAGGGUAGAGUGCAUGUCUCAAGGUUUACCCCAGCCAGAGAGGAUUGCUGCAUCGUCAGCCACCAACUCCAGUCGUGGCUGAGAGCCCAUCCUGGGGCGUUUGGCGUGUCUAGCCGGUGCUACAGGCAGCACAGCGGACUCCAGUGGCCAGGAAACAGGACUUCCUUCUCCGGCUGGGGAGCGCAUGUGGCCUGUGUAUAGGACAAUCAAGAAGUGUCUGAGAGCCACAGAGCAGGAAAGACACCUCGACAGUUUCCUCACCCUCAGUUGAGGAAUUCAACAGGAGUUGGAAAGAGCUCAGCAAGACCAGCCAAAGACUCAAAGAACAUUUGGCUCAAGGAAAUUCCAGAAGAGAAAGAGCUGGUGAAAAGGGAGGCUGGAAUCCUGGCAGCUACCUCCCACCCAGAGCAGGGAGGGUGGUACAAGCUGCCAAGGGAAAGAUCCAGGCCAGGCUGGGAAGCUACCUUCAUACAUGGGUAAGGAUAAGAGAGGCAACGGGACUCCAUUCUCCAAUAAAGUGAAACAGAGAAGCAAUUGGCUUUGUUGGGAACCGGUUAAAGGGGACCCUGAAUGUGUGCUGAAGAAUUUGUUUGGUAGAAAACCUUCUGAUUGGGACAGAAAGGCCUUGGUUUUUUUAAUUGCAGUUCUUUAAUGAACAAGGUGGAUAAUUUUUUGUCUUUCAUGAAAUUAAAGAAAAUUGAAUUCUAUCAUACAUUCUGAAGAGUGGACAAAAGUGUACUGCUCCUUGAUGAAUUUUCACAAACUGAACUCACCCGUGUAACCAGUACUCAGAGAAACAGAAUAUGAUUAGCACCUCCAAACCCCCCCACCUUGUGCUCUCUUCCCAGUCACUACCUCCUCAAGGGUAACCACUACCCUGACUUUUUUUUUUAAGUUUAUUUAUUUACUUUGAGAGAGAGAAAGAGCAUGCAUGAGUUGGGGAGGGGCAGAGAGAGAGAGAGGGAGAGAGAGAAUACCAAGCAGGCUCCAUGCUGUCAGCACAGAGCCAAAUGCAAGGCUCAAUCCCAUGAAGCAUGAGAUCAUGAUCUGAGCCAAAAUCAAGAAUUGGACACUAAGCCAGCUGAGCCACCUAGGUGCCCCUAUCCUAACUUUUAAUAGUGUAGAUUAAUUUUGCUUGUUCUUGAAACUCAUAUGAAUGGAAUUAUUCAGUGCAUAUUCUUUUAUGUCUGUCAUUUCCCCCUCAACAUUGUGUAUGUGAGAUUUAUCCACAUUGUGUGCAACAACAGGCCAUUCUUUUUCAUUGCUGUACUGUAUUUCAUUUUAUGGUAUACCAUGGUUUAUUUGUUCAUUCUGCCUUUGAAGGAUGUGUGAUUCAUUUCCAGUUUUUAGCUACUAUGAAUAAAGCUGCUAUGGCAUUCUUGUGCA